rnacentral:lncRNA from 1 species
AAAUUAUUACCUUUUCGCCGGAGAAAGUCUCAUCUCCGUAGGUUGGUAUAACUUCGAUUCCUAAAUUAUAUUGUUGAGUGUUUGAUGUUGUUGAUUGUAUGAUGAUUAGGGUUCAGGUAAAUUGAUUAUAAUUGGAGAUUUGUUUGGUUGAAUAUGUUGUUUGAUGCAUGAUAAAAGGUCAUGGAAUUGGGAAUUUUUGUUUGACGGGGGUUUGGGAUGAUUCUGGGUAAGUUAGGAUUCGAUAUGGGUUAGGUUGAGGUUCGGGACGAAGGAAGAAAAUGAAGAUUCA